rnacentral:rRNA from 1 species
CCCUUAGAUGUCCUGGGCUGCACGCGCGCUACACUGAUGUGUCCAGUAAGCACCUAACCUCUUCCGAAAGGAACGGGUAACCUUUGCAAAGCACAUCGUGAUGGGGAUAGAUUAUUGCAAUUAUUAGUCUUGAACGAGGAAUUCCUAGUAAGCACAAGUCAUCAGCUUGUGUUGAUUACGUCCCUGCCAUUUGUACACACCGCCCGUCGCUCCUACCGAUUGAAUGUUCCGGUGAGCUCUUCGGACUGCGCGGUCUGCAGUUUCUGCGUUCCGUGCGGAAAGUUGCGCAAACCUUAACAUUUAGAGGAAGGAGAAGUCGUAACA